AUGGCUAUACCACAUUGAAAACACCGGUUCUCGUCCAAUCACCAAAGUUAAGCAAUGUUGGGCCUGGUCAGUACUUGGGAGGGUGACCACCUGGGAACACUGGGUGUAAUGUAGGCU
rnacentral:rRNA from 1 species